rnacentral:rRNA from 1 species
CGAUGGCGACCGGCGCACGGGUGAGUAACACGUAUCCAACCUGCCGAUGACUCGGGGAUAGCCUUUCGAAAGAAAGAUUAAUACCCGAUGGCAUAGUUCUUCCGCAUGGUAGAACUAUUAAAGAAUUUCGGUCAUCGAUGGGGAUGCGUUCCAUUAGGUUGUUGGCGGGGUAACGGCCCACCAAGCCUUCGAUGGAUAGGGGUUCUGAGAGGAAGGUCCCCCACAUUGGAACUGAGACACGGUCCAA